UUGGCGGACGGGUGAGUAACACGUGGGUAACCUGCCUGUAGGACUGGGAUAACUCCGGGAAACCGGGGCUAAUACCGGAUGCUUGUUUGAACCGCAUGGUUCAAACAUAAAAGGUGGCUUCGGCUACCACUUACAGAUGGACCCGCGGCGCAUUAGCUAGUUGGUGAGGUAAUGGCUCACCAAGGCAACGAUGCGUAGCCGACCUGAGAGGGUGAUCGGCCACACUGGGACUGAGACACGGCCCAGACUCCUACGGGAGGCAGCAGUAGGGAAUCUUCCGCAAUGGACGAAAGUCUGACGGAGCAACGCCGCGUGAGUGAUGAAGGUUUUCGGAUCGUAAAGCUCUGUUGUUAGGGAAGAACAAGUACCGUUCGAAUAGGGCGGUACCUUGACGGUACCUAACCAGAAAGCCACGGCUAACUACGUGCCAGCAGCCGCGG
rnacentral:rRNA from 1 species